UCCAGACUCCUACGGGAGGCAGCAGUGGGGAAUAUUGCACAAUGGGGGAAACCCUGAUGCAGCAACGCCGCGUGAGUGAAGAAGCGUUUCGGCGCGUAAAGCUCUGUCAGCGGGGAAGAAAGAAGACGGUACCCGACCAAGAAGCCCCGGCUAACUACGUGCCAGCAGCCGCGAUAAUACGUAGGGGGCGAGCGUUAUCCGGAAUUACUGGGUGUAAAGGGAGCGUAGACGGCGAAGUAAGCCUGAAGUGGAAGCCCGCGGCCCAACCGCGGAACUGCUUUGGGAACUGUUUAGCUGGAGUAUGGGAGGGGUAAGCGGAAUUCCUGGUGUAGCGGUGAAAUGCGUAGAUAUCAGGAGGAACACCGGUGGCGAAGGCGACUAUCUGGCACAUAACUGACGCUGAGGAGCGAAAGCGUGGGUAGCAAACAGGAUUAGAUACCCGUAUG
rnacentral:rRNA from 1 species